AAACCUUCUAUUUUUUCGAGUUUCAAAAUGCUCCAAAACUCAAAAAUCACUAGUUUUUACUAAUUUUUACUACAAAAUUCGGCUUUUUGACAAAAUUUCCGUUGUUAGGACACCCAUAUUGCCUAUAUUCGGUAAAGUUUGGAAUUCC
ensembl:ncRNA Y80D3A.14 ncRNA